AUGCCAGAACGAAAGAGAGGCGUCAUUCUCAAGACGAGAUGCCCUCUCCGGUUGAAGCUAAACACAAAUGGAGCAUGGUGGGUGGUCACCAAAUAUGUCGAAGAACACAACCAUGACCUCAUAAAGAAGUUUGACCUAGUAAACUUUUUGAGUGCCCACAGAGGAUUCAGUCCCAUCGAGAAGAAAUUCAUAAGGUUGCUACAUGAUUGUAACAUCGGUCCACCAAGAAUGGUCCAAAUAUUGUCCCUGAUCCACAGCGGAGAUGGGAGCCUGAGUAGCAUGCCUUACAUACCAGCAGACAUCACUAACCUAAAGGAAAAUACCGUAAAGAGAGCAGGUUGGCUGACAUAG
rnacentral:rRNA from 1 species